AGGACGAACGCUGGCGGCGUGCUUAACACAUGCAAGUCGAACGGUAAGGCCCUUCGGGGUACACGAGUGGCGAACGGGUGAGUAACACGUGGGUGAUCUGCCCUGCACUUCGGGAUAAGCCUGGGAAACUGGGUCUAAUACCGGAUAGGACCAUGGACUUCACGGUUUGUGGUGGAAAGCUUUGCGGUGUGGGAUGGGCCCGCGGCCUAUCAGCUUGUUGGUGGGGUAAUGGCCUACCAAGGCGACGACGGGUAGCCGGCCUGAGAGGGUGUCCGGCCACACUGGGACUGAGAUACGGCCCAGACUCCUACGGGAGGCAGCAGUGGGGAAUAUUGCACAAUGGGCGCAAGUCUGAUGCAGCGACGCCGCGUGAGGGAUGACGGCCUUCGGGUUGUAAACCUCUUUCAAUAGGGACGAAGCGCAAGUGACGGUACCUAUAGAAGAAGCACCGGCCAACUACGUG
rnacentral:rRNA from 1 species